rnacentral:rRNA from 1 species
AUUGAACGCUGGCGGCAGGCCUAACACAUGCAAGUCGCACGAGUGGCGGACGGGUGAGUAAUGUCUGGGAAACUGUCUGAUGGAGGGGGAUAACUACUGGAAACGGUAGCUAAUACCGCAUACCAUCAGAUGUGCCCAGCUGGGAUUAGCGAGUUGGUGGGGUAACGGCUCACCAAGGCGACGAUCCCUAGCUGGUCUGAGAGGAUGACCAGCAACACUGGAACUGAGACACGGUCCAGACUCCUACGGGAGGCAGCAGUGGGGAAUAUUGCACAAUGGGCGCAAGCCUGAUGAAGACAUGCCGCGUGUAUGAAGAAGGCCUUCGGGUUGUAAAGUACUUUCAGCGGGGAGGCGUUACCCGCAGAAGAAACACCGGCUAACUCCGUGCCAGCAGCCGCGGUAAUAC